rnacentral:rRNA from 1 species
UACGUAGGUGGCAAGCGUUACUCGGAAUCACUAGGCGUAAAGCGCAGGUAGGCGGUUGGAUAAGUUUCUUGUGAAAGCUCCCGGCUUAACUGGAGAGGCCAAGGAAUACUGUUCGACUAGAGUGUGGUAGGGGAAACUGGAAUUCCCGGUGUAGCGGUGAAAUGCGUAGAUAUCGGGAGGAAUACCUAUGGCGAAAGCAAGUUCUGGGCCAUCACUGACGCUGAGCUGCGAAAGCUAGGGAGCAAACAGG